rnacentral:rRNA from 1 species
UACAGAGGUCUCAAGCGUUGUUCGGAUUCAUUGGGCGUAAAGGGUGUGUAGGUGGCGCCGUAAGUCGGGGUGUGAAAUUUCGGAGCUUAACUCCGAAACUGCAUUCGAUACUGCGGUGCUUGAGGACUGGAGAGGAGACUGGAAUUCAUGGUGUAGCAGUGAAAUGCGUAGAGAUCAUGAGGAAGACCAGUGGCGAAGGCGGGUCUCUGGGCCAUAACUGACGCUGAGGAGCGAAAGCGUGGGGAGCGAACAGGA